ensembl:snoRNA snoRNA:Or-aca3 snoRNA:Or-aca3
ACUUGGCAGCGUGCAAGCAACUGGCUACUCUUCUGGUUGUCCGAUGCUUGCAGGGAUCUCCUGCGUUGCCAGAUAAAAUGCUCUUCUUGGCGUUACGAUUGAAACUUGAUUCACGGCUUCCAUCGUGGUAACGGAAGAGCAACAGCU